AGAUUUCUAUAUUGAACUCUUUUAGCAUCUAGUCUCUGUACUUUAUCUGUGAAAAUAUAAACAUCUAGUUGCAUCUAUCUCUAUAGAUCUUUAGGAUGCCUACUUUAUAUCUUUCAUGAAGAAAUCUAUAUUCAAUCAUAUUUUAAUCGAUGUCAGUUUUGGAUACUCCCACUGUUGCUUUUGAAACCCAUAUUUCCUCAUAUCU
rnacentral:lncRNA from 1 species